rnacentral:tRNA from 1 species
GGUGGCUCAGUGGUAGAGCGCUUGUCUUGCAUGCCUGAGGCCCUGGGUUCGAUUCCCUGCACCA